CCUACGGGUGACAGCAGUGGGGGAUAUUGCACAAUGGGGGAAACCCUGAUGCAGCGACGCCGCGUGUAGGAAGACGGUCCUCUGGGUUGUAAACUACUGUCCCCAGGGACGAAGAUGACGGUACCUAGGGAGGAAGCUCCGGCUAACUACGUGACAGCAGCCGCGGUAAUACGUAGGGAGCGCGCGUUGUCCGGAAUUACUGGGUGAAAAGGGAGCGUAGGCGGGGGUGCAAGUUGGGUGUUAAAUCUACCGGCUCAACUGGUAGUCGCACUCAAAACUGCAGCUCUUGAGUGAAGUAGAGGCAGGCGGAAUGCGUAGUGUAGCGGUGAAAUGCGUAGAUAUUAGGAGGAACACCAGUGGCGAAGGCGGCCUGCUGGGCUUUUACUGACGCUGAGGCUCGAAAGUGUGGGGAGCAAACAGGAUUAGAUACCCGAGUAGUC
rnacentral:rRNA from 1 species